UACGUAGGGUCCAAGCGUUAUCCGGAAUCACUGGGCGUAAAGCGUGCGUAGGCGGGUGCUUAAGUGAGAUGCGAAAUCUUGUGGCUCAACCAUAUAGACUGUAUCUCAUACUGGGUACCUUGAGGAUGGCAGAGGCUAGUGGAAUUACUGGUGUAGCAGUGAAAUGCGUAGAGAUCAGUAGGAACACCAAUGGCGAAGGCAGCUAGCUGGGCCAUUUCUGACGCUAAGGCACGAAAGCGUGGGGAGCGAACAGG
rnacentral:rRNA from 1 species